CUAGUGACGAACUCAGUCCCGAGAAACGGCCACCUUCACAUUUCGUCUGCCAGUGGCCUCCACCCAAGAGAAAGCCCGCCAGGAGUUGGGCUCUCUCGAGCAGCUCGGUCCUCCACCAGAGGAGACUCAAGAGGAGGUGUCAGUCCAGGGCGACCUCAUGUGUCCUACUACUCCAGAGGAGGCGACCUCACCCUGCUCCUCAUCGCGC